GACGAACGCUGGCGGCGUGCUUAACACAUGCAAGUCGAACGAAGAUGCCGGAGUGCUUGCACUUUGGCAGACUGAGUGGCGGACGGGUGAGUAACGCGUGGGUAACCUGCCUCACACAGGGGGAUAACAGUUAGAAAUGACUGCUAAUACCGCAUAAGCGCACGGCAUCGCAUGAUGCAGUGUGAAAAACUCCGGUGGUGUGAGAUGGAUCCGCGUCUGAUUAGGUAGUUGGUGAGGUAACGGCCCACCAAGCCGACGAUCAGUAGCCGACCUGAGAGGGUGACCGGCACAUUGGGACUGAGACACGGCCCAAAACUCCUACGGGAGCAGCAGUGGGGAAUAUUGCACAAUGGGCGAAAGCCUAGAUGCAGCGACGCCGCGUGAGUGAAGAAGUAUUCGGUAUGUAAAGCUCUAUCAGCAGGGAAGAAAUGACGGUACCUGACUAAGAAGCCCCGGC
rnacentral:rRNA from 1 species